ACAGAGCGAGGCAAGGUCAACGAAGGAUGAUAUCAAUAGAACAUCUCCAAAUAGCACAGAAUGCAGCAAGAAGGAGCAGCAGAUGUCAGCCCAGCCCAGUGUCAACCCCUGUGGAGCUGCACAGGAAGACUUGGAAGGAAACAGCAUCGCCGCGACGCGCUGGCUGCCAGCGCUCGCUCCGAUCCUCACCCCACUGGCUGUAGUCUUGCCUGUGUCACCAGGUACCCCUGGUUCCAGAUGCUUAGCCUGGCCCCAGCCACGCUCCCGGGCCGAUGAUGCAUCACCCGGCGGAACCUUGGAGAGCAGCUUGCUCAGCCCUCCAUUCCUCCCCCCUGCAGGAGCCAGUCCAAGAGGAGGCUGAUUUCUCCUGUAAAAAAAAAAAAAAAAAAAAAAUGAAAUGAGAAAUAACGGGAUAAGUUGACAGCGAAUCUACUGGAGUUUGUAACAGAAGUGUCUUGUGCAGUAACCUACUUUGACAGUUGAAGUUUCUGUUGUAUAGCAAUGCCUGGUUCUAAAGAAGGGGGGUGGUUUGGAGUCAAUAUGACGUGGGUUCAAAGCCAGGUUCUGCCAAUUUCUAGUUACCUUAGGCGAUCUCCCUAAGCCUUGAUCUUCCC